CAGUAGCCACGGUAAAACGUAGGUCCCGAGCGUUGUCCGGAUUUGUUGGGCGUAAAGGGAGCGCAGGCGGUUUAGUAAGUCUGAAGUUAAAGGCAUUGGCUCAACCAAUGUAUGCUUUGGAAACUGUUAGACUUGAGUGCAGAAGGGGAGAGUGGAAUUCCAUGUGUAGCGGUGAAAUGCGUAGAUAUAUGGAGGAACACCGGUGGCGAAAGCGGCUCUCUGGUCUGUCACUGACGCUGAGGCUCGAAAGCGUGGGUAGCGAACAGGAUUAGAUACCCCGGUAGUCCCUGUCUCUUAUACC
rnacentral:rRNA from 1 species